GUCUCUGUGGUGCAGUUGGUUAGUGCGUUCAGCUGUUAACUGAAAGGUUGGUGGUUCAAGCCCACCCGGGGACA
rfam:Heterocephalus glaber contig184080, whole genome shotgun sequence.